AAAUGUUUCAGUGUCUUUUUUAAAAAAAUCUUUUUCUUUAAUGUAGGUUUAGGCCAGUUACCCUCACACAUCCACACUUUACCCAGAGAGGAUGAGCCUGGCAUCUAGGUUCAUGGACUUGUAGGAGUAAAGGCAGGAAGAGCUCGCACCUGCUGUGUAAUGAUUGAAAAUGUAAACAUAUUACAGUGGUUAUCGUGCUGCUUAAAAAAAAAUCUGAACAUAUCUUCUUUUCAGGGGGAAAUAGAAAUAACCAGAAAAUAGAAAAUAACCAGUUUGGCUCUUGUCUAUACCACCUAAAUAUCAAAUUGUAAGAGUUAACACUUUCACCUGAAUCUGGCUGACCUUUGAGCCCCAUUGAGUCUCCACUGGAUUUAAUUGCUCACAAUGUAGUCAUUUCUAAGGCAUUUCACAACAGGGGAACUUACUUAGGAUGGGAGAAAGAAUUACAAGCAUUUCUCCAGAAAGUUCCCUAUUAUCUUACGAGACACUUAUUAUGACCGUGUGCUAGACUUUGUGCUAGGCCCUCGUGUUAGAUUAUCUCUUGCCCCAGAGUUGUUUACAAUGCAUUCGGGAAUACGGAGGAGUAGACCAAAAAUUACAACCGGAAGGCUAAACGCUAGGGUAAUGGGAGUAGGUAAGAAGGACAUUAAAAUGAAACCUGACCUAGAAUGAAAAGAAAUUCGAGUUGCUCCUUAAAGAAGAAAGAGGAAGCAGCCAGGCGAAGAAGGGCUACUUCCAGGUCAAGGAGAAAGGACGUGGGAACCUUGGGUAGGGAGUGAGCCCACGAGCGUGGCUGGCGGCUGAAUCGGGCGAGCAGAGUCAUGGAAGGGUCAUGAGCCAACAAGGGGCAAGAUUGUGUAGACUUUAGAAACAUCCCUGUGGCUGUGUGAGAAGGAAGGAUUAAAUGGGAGCCAAAGCAGACGCAAAGAGGCUUCUGGGAGACUUUGCGGUGGCCUCAGCAAAGACAGGACACCAAGCUCCUCAGCUGCCCGUGGGGAUGGCAAGGUGGUGACAGGAGAUGGAGGUGAGGGACACCACUGCAACAAAACCAGGCCCAUUCUGGUCAUCUCUUGUGGGUAAAAUAGGAGUGGUUUUGGCAAAAAUAAUACAAGUGCAGUUUUUAAUAGUGGGACAGCCUAGGGAAGGUUGAGUGCAUUUGGUCACUACCGAUUUAACACACUUAUCGAGCAUCUGGAAUGUGCUAGGGACCACUUUAGGUAGUAGUAUCAGUUACAUAAAGGCAAAAUCUCUGGUCCUUAGUAGAGCCUAUAUUCUAUUUGGAGGGGAAAAUAAUAAACAAUAAAUGUAGUAAGUAAAUUAUCUGGUAGGUUAGCCAAUAACGAAUGCUGUAGAAUAAAGUAGUAUAUGGGGAUUGGGAUGAGAGCAGAGAGAAGCAUAGGUUUUAAUUUUAAAAGUGUGGGUAAAGCAACCCUUAUUGGGAAAGUAAGAUUUGAGCAAUUGAGUGGGCCAUGGAGAUGUAAGGGAAAAGCAUCCCAGAAAGUGGGAAUAGCUACUGCUAAGCCCAGGGAGAAAAUGCCUGGUGUUCUCAGAAGCAAGGAAGUAAGCUAAUGAGUCUGGGAAGGGGUCAGCAAGUGGGAGAGUGGGGAGAGAGGAGGACAGAGAGGAAAGGGGGUGUCUGGGCUGUGAGGGCCUUGCAGGCUGUUGUAAGAAAGUUUCCUUUUAUUUGGUGAUGGGAAUGUUUGGAGGGUUAGAACAAAGGAUGACGUGAUCUGACAAGUUUUAACAGGAUCAUUCUGUAUGCUGGCAGGAUGGUGGAAACAGGAAGAGCAGUCAAGAGGCUAAGGCUACAUUCCAAAUCAGGCAUUAAUAAUGGCUUGGACACAGUGAUGGCAGUGGAGGGGAAGGAAGGUCAGGCUUUAUACACAUAUAGGAAUAUAUGCCAUUAGGUUGGAUGACAGGAGUGUGUGUAGGGAGAGGAGCCCAUGGAGUUACCACCAUAGGCUAGAGAAACAUUUUGGCUUCAUCAGUGCAUACUUGCUUAUGGGACCCAUGGAAACCAAUGGCUGAUGGAGAAUUUAUAAAGGGAAAAUAAGAAGGGCAAAGAGAGAAGACAGCAGAGUCCUUGAUAUGCGUGGUUGAGAUCUUGGUGCACAAGGAGAAAAGGCUUAACGUCAAACCCCUCAUAAACAAAUUUCAGAUGGAUUGAAGACACCAGAUAUUAAAAAAAAAAAAUUACGGGGAUUUAGAAAAAAGUAUAGGAGAUGCUAUUCAUAAUUUUGGGAUAUGAAAGAUUUCUUAAGAUUAAAAAUCAUAAAAUUCUGAGAAAUAUGAUGCCAUUGAAAUUAAAAUCCCUUUACUUAAAAACCAUAAACAAGAUUAAAAGACAUAAGACAGACUUCUACCUUUUUCUCGUCAGAAGGCACAAUUCAGAAAAUGAACUGGCAAGGUGCAGACUGGGAAAAAUAUUUGCAAAACGUAUAUCUAAGGAAGGACUAGUGAAGAAGUCCUACAACUCAGUAAUAAAAUGCCAAGCUACUCAAUAAAAUAUGGGUAAAGCGUUUGGACAAUCCUUUUAUGAGGAAAAUUCACAAAUGUCCAAUAAUCACAUAAAAAACAUCGUUAGUCAUCAGGAAAAGGAAAAUUAAAAUCACAGUGAGGUGCCAUUACACAUUCACCAAAAUGGAUAAAGUUUAAAAGGCCUGAUAGCUUCAAAUGUCAGCAGAGAACUGGAACGUCUGGAAACCUCGUAAACUUCAGUUGAGAAUAUAAAGUCUCUCACUUUGACAGACAUUCAUGCAUUCAUGCAUUUUAUUCCUAAAUGUUGACUCAGGAGAAGUGAAAACUUAUGUACACAAAGACAUUUGUACCAGAAUAUUCGUAGCAGCUUUGCUCACACUAGGUAAGACCCAGAAAUAUUGCAGGUGUCCAUCCGUCGGAGAACGGAAAACAAACUUUGGUGUAUUUGUACUACUCAGUGAUCAAAAGGAGUGAAUCUUGACAACAGCUAACAACAUGGAGGAAUCUCGAAAACUUCAUGCUGAGUGAAGGAAACCUUACACACAGGAGUGCAUCCUGUAUGUUUUAACAUACGGGGUAUGCUAGAACAGACCAGAUUAACCCAGAGUAGGAAUAAUCUCUGGGGAGGACUAAUCUCUGGGAGGGCUGUCUGAACCCAGGGGUGCAGGUGGACCCCAGCACUGAGCAGAGGAGGGAAUUGCCGACUAAGGCAGCCAGAUCAGCCCUGAGGUGACCUCCAAGAGCUGAGCUGUUCUUUCCGUGGGCUACCGACCUGCUCCAGAUUUGGGGUCUCAUUCCAUGGGUGAAGUUGCCAGUUUCACUGAGUAAUAUUAAGUGAAUAAUAAGCUGAAUAUUUCCUUCUCCUUUAAGUAAGAUCUAUACUUUUCUUGUUAUAUUUUUCACUUGUUAAAAUGAACAAAUAUGUAAGAAAAUGUUUAAGGAAGAAAUAAGAGUGCAUUUUAGCUAUCCUUCCUGUGGUAGGUAGAUUUCUGAGAUGGUCCCCAAGAUUCCUACCCUUUGAUUUAGACACCCUGAGUUGUCCCCUCCUGUUGAGUGUGGGCAGGGUCUGUGAACAUCACAUGUAUCACUCUCAGUCAUUACGCUACCCUUGAGGAAAAAAGGGAGUUUAUCCUAUUAUCCUGGGUGGGCCUGACCUAAUCAGGAGAGCCCUUAAGAGAAGCAGCAGCAGACACUCUUGCUGGCCUGGAAGAAAGCAAACAGCCAUGUGGUGAACAACCUAGGGAAGGGCCAUGUGGCUAAGACAGCCCCUAGCUGACAACUAGCCAGAAAAUGUGACCCCAAUCCUACAACCGUAAGGAAUAAAAUUCUGCCAACAACCUGAAUGGACCUGAGAGGAUCCUGAGCCCCAGAUGAGACCACAGCCCAGCCAACACCAGAUCAGCUUGUGAGACCCUGAGCAGAGACCUCAGCUCCACUGUGCCUGGACUUCGGACCCAUGGAAACUAUAAGAUAAUGAAUACGUUUUAAGCCACUAGGAACUGUAGAAAUAGAGGAAUGUGUUUAACAACAUCAAUCGAUUAUAAUACACCAAAUACAGAAUAUGAGAAAAUCUCUGGACAAAUGAAUGAGUUUCUCCAACAAAUAAAUGAAAAUAAUAAAAAAGUGGGAAGAGGAACCUAUAGAUUAAAAGACAGUUAAGAAAUACAUGACAUGUCCAAACUAAAUGAGGAUCAAUUGUUUAGAUCUGGAUUCAAAUACCCCAACUGUAAAAGCCUUUCUGAGAUAGGAAACAUUUGAGCACUGACUCUGUAUUUGGUAUUAAAUAAUUGUUAUUUUUAUGUGCAUCAAAGAUAAAGAUAUCUUGGCUAUCUUAA